rnacentral:lncRNA from 1 species
GCAAGGAGACCCUCGGGCACACGACGAAGAUUGGUAUCUUAAGUUGGUAUCUCACAGCCAAGUUUCUAGAUACGUUUCCCUAGAGGAGCCUGGGGGAACUGGUGGAGCUAGGUGAGAAGGGAUGUGUUCCCUAUCGCUGUUAUGACCUCGCAGACCAGCAGGAAUCUGGAAGAAUGAGAUUGGGACCUUACCUGUGGAGCUGCUCUCCCACAUGGGGAGCAUCUGAGGAAGUUGAGCCAAUUGGCGUGAGAAGGAGAUUUUUCUAGAUAAGAAGUAAAAAUGUUCUAGAACAUUCUGGUCUACCCAUCAUGGUAGCCAUGAAAGAGACUGGGAGCCUGAGAAGGGCCUCUGAAGGUCAGAGAGGGGUCAAGGCGGCAGGUCUGCUUCAGUUUCUAGCUGUUUUCCACCCAUGCCUUCCUGGGUCCUUCCAUCUGUCCUCUCCUGUGUCCCUCUAGGGCAGCUCUUGUGCCGAUCUUCUCCUUUGGGGAGAACAACCUGUUUAACCAAGUUGAGAACACCCCUGGCACCUGGCUGCGCUGGAUCCAGAACUGGCUGCAGAAGAUCAUGGGCAUCUCCCUUCCGCUCUUCCAUGGCAGAGGUGUCUUCCAGUACAGCUUUGGCCUCGUGCCCUUCCGCCAGCCCAUCACCACCGUAGUGGGGAAGCCCAUCGAGGUGCAGAUGAUACCACAUCCCUCGGAGGAG